AUGGCUCCUUCCCCUACAAAAUGCAAGGGCCGAUCUGAUGAGAAAUCCAAGGAUCGAUCUAAAGAUAAGGGGACCACUAAGGAGUCAAGUGAGAAGGAUCAUGGUCAGAAGAGACGUCGUGCUUCAAGCAGAAGCAGCAGCACCGGGUCUAGGUCCAGCUCAACCUCCAGCUCGGGCUCCAGCUCCAGCACAGGCUCAAACAGUGGCUCUAGUUCACCCUCUGCAACUAGCCACUCAGGAAGCUCCAGUUCUAGCAGCUCCUCCGGCUCCCCAAGCCCUUCUUGGCGCAGGCAUGACAAUAGAUGGCGUUCUGCUCCAAAUCCAAACCACCUAAAAGAGAUGAAAAAGAGAGGAAAAGGGGAGCCCUUCACCUAAACCGACCAAAGUGCACAUUGGGAGGCUCACCAGGAAUGAGACCAAGGAUCAUAUCAGGGAAAUAUUUUCUACUUACGGGAAAAUUAAAAUGAUUGACAUGCCUGUAGAGAGGAUGCAUCCUCAUCUCUCCAAAGGUUAUGCAUAUGUGGAAUUUGAGAAUCCAGAUGAAGCAGAGAAGGCACUGAAACACGUGGAUGGAGGACAAAUUGAUGGCCAAGAGAUCACCGCUACUGCUGUGUUGGCACACUGGCCUCGGCCACCACCUCGGCGAUUCAGCCCUCCCAGGAGAAUGCUUCCACCACCUCCCAUGUGGCAUAGGUCAUCCCCAUGGAUGAGGAGAAGGUCUCGAUCCCCAAGAUGCAGGUCCCCUGUGUGCAGGAGGUCUCGAUCUCCUGUCCGCCGCCACCACAGGAGUCAAUCCAGUUCCACUCCUCCCGAUAAGCAUGGACAUUGAUUCUUACCUCUGUAACUUAUGUUCCCCAGACUCGGUUUUAUCCUUUUCUCUAGCCAAAUGAGGAUCUGUAGGAGAGGAUUCCUUACUGGGUAGGCUUUGAAGACAGCUGUUGAGAUAUUUCCUCUGCAGAAGAGUUCUGGCUUGUAGAGUACUGUUGAUUCAGGACUGUUCCCAUAGAGGUACCCUGUAAUUUUCUAGCUAGAAACUUCACCCCUUCGGUUCUUGAUAGUCUGGUAGCCGAGCCAGCUGGAACCUAUGGCAGCACACCGUUUUCCACAGAUGACCCAGAACCAGACAAACUGGUGAAG